CGAGACGGGCGGCGUUGGGGCAAGUGCGGGGAAUCCGGCUGCAUCGGCUCGGCGGUUGGCGGACUCACCGGUCGGUGCGCGUUAAUGCAUCGUUGAAAUAUCGUGCAUUUACGUCUAAACCUAACUAACAGCAAGUAUGAAAACUGCAGGAGAAGUAUUUAUAAAAGAUCGUGCAUUUACAUCUGCGAAUCUAACUGACAGCAAGUAUGAAAACUGCAGAAGUAUUUAUAAAAGAUCGUGCAUCUGAAUCUAACUAACAGCAAGUAUGAAAACUGCAGGAGUAUUUAAAAAAAAAACAAGAAGGUUAUGCAUUUAAAUCCUAUGAAGCUUGCUAGAGCAACUACAGCUGCAGGAAGAGAAGCACAGAUGAUGGAUUAGGCACUCAAAUCUGCAAACCCAACUGAUGAGAACUGCUGGAAGAGGAGCACUGACUACAGAGCAAGUCAACAGAAGGAAAGGGGAAUUUCCAGUGGUUAUACUGAAAAUUGUAAUUUCAUCUUCAAGAAAACAGCAUCUAAAUUUUCCAGUUAGCCUGCCCAUACAGCUACUUCAAGCAAGAUUUAAUGUAGUAUAUGGUUAAUGGAUUUGUGGACUGAACUAGUUUUGGCAGUAAAUGUGAAUGGUGUGAAAUAAAGUUGAUUUUGGACAUCCAGUCCAGGGCCCUAAAGUCUUUGUCAUGAGAAUUUGUCUUCCAUUCAGACUUGUCCAGCUUGACUGUUGCAUUAAUAAUAAUUGGCCCCUGGACUCCUGCUUAUUUUUAAUUCCUUGUUGCCAGACUGUACAUAUUGAAAGUAUUGGACUCCAACAGUGCAGUAAUAACAUUUCCAAAUCUGAGCAUUUAAAAGUCCAGAAGAAGAUUUUCAGAACUUUCAAACCUACUUUGACAUUUUCCUAAUCUUAGUUUAAUUGAAAGACAAAAGUAGGUUGCAUUUCUCGAUUGCAUUCUUUUGGGUUGGGUGUGAUCUCAUGCAUCCUACUAUUUAAAUAGGGACACUGCUCAGGGACAUCAGGCUCUUCAUAUCAAUCAUCUGGAGAGGGUAUGUUUAAAAUAAAAC